rnacentral:lncRNA from 10 species
CUGUGGAGUGCUGAGUAAAUGCAAGUGACUGUUUUUAUCCCUGUUAAUUAUUUUAGAUUUGAGUCUACUUGCACUUGGACUGAUGUAGCUACAAAUCAAGAAGGAAAAGAAAAGAAAGGGAUGUUCCCAACCAUUCACACUGUUUGAAGUGCUGAGAACCAUCGACCCAACUCAGCUCGUAAUCUCCUUCGACUUUGAUGUUUCGCCAUGACCAGGCUCCAGGAGUUGCUCAAACAAAAAGAUGACAUAUCCUAAUGACCUGUGUGUUUUUCUUAAUGAUAGACUCAUAAAAAGAUGCUGAAGAUAAAAGGUGAUUAAACAUUUACCAGACCAUCACUGAGUGGUCUCUGGAAGUGUGAUGUUUGGCUCUAGUGACACCAUCUCGUUACCAGGAAUACAGACAUUAGUGGCACACUGAGAGUGCAGAUGGUGGAGGUGGGAGUGUGAUGGUGAUGAGAAAUCCUGAGUUCUUUAUAGCAUUCUUCAGCUGCUUAACCAGCCCUGGAAGCACUUCACCUUCAGAUCCUUUCUUAUGUUAACUAAUAGAUCUACAUUGUUUAAAUAUCUACUGCUCAAUAUCUUGUUACUUGACUUGAAGCUGAAAGUAGCAUGUACAGUCUGUGAAAACAGACAUAGAAUGGACUCAAUUUCUCCACUAAAG